rnacentral:rRNA from 1 species
GCGAGUGAAGCGGCAAAAGCUCAAAUUUGAAACCCUCGGGAUUGUAAUUUGAAGAUUUGGCAUUGGAGAAAGCUAACCCAAGUUGCUUGGAAUAGUACGUCAUAGAGGGUGACAACCCCGUCUGGCUAACCGUUCUCCAUGUAUUGCCUUAUCAAAGAGUCGAGUUGUUUGGGAAUGCAGCUCAAAGUGGGUGGUAAACUCCAUCUAAAGCUAAAUACUGGUGAGAGACCGAUAGCGAACAAGUACUGUGAAGGAAAGGUGAAAAGAACUUUGAAAAGAGAGUGAAAUAGUAUGUGAAAUUGUUGAUAGGGAAGGAAAUGAGUGGAGAGUGGCCGAGGUUUCAGCCGCCCCUCGUGGGCGGUGUACUGCCGACGCCGAGUCAUCGAUAGCGAGACGAGGGUUACAAAUGGGAGCGCCUUCGGGCGUUCUCCCCUAACCCUCCACACUGCCACCGACGACAUAAUCCACCCAUUUCACCCGUCUUGAAACACGGACCA